rnacentral:misc_RNA from 1 species
GAUGAAGAACUUAGCGAAAUGCGAUACUUGGUGUGAAUUGCAGAAUCCCGUGAACCAUCGAGUCUUUGAACGCAAGUUGCGCCCGAAGCCAUUAGGCCGAGGGCACGCCUGCCUGGGCGUCACACGUCGUUGCCCCCCCCAUCUACUCCUUCGGGAUUGCGGGGGGCGGAUGAUGGCCUCCCGUGCGCCUCGCCGCGCGGUUGGCAUAAAUGCCAAGUCCUCGGCGACGCACGCCACGACAAUCGGUGGUUGCGAAACCUCGGUUGCCCGUCGUGUGCGGUCGUCGCGCAUCGAGGGCUCGAAAAAAUUGCCGAGUUCCGGCUCGGCUUUCAACGCGACCCCAGGUCAGGCGGGGUUACCCGCUGAAUUUAAGCAUAUCAAUAAGCGGAGGA